GAUGAACGCUGGCGGCGUGCCUAAUACAUGCAAGUCGAGCGAAGCGGGGACGGGUGAGUAACACGUGGUUAACCGCCUAUAACUCUGGGUUAACGUCGGGAAACCGGAGCUAAACCGGAUACUUAGCGAUGGAUCCGCGCUGCAUUAGCUAGUUGGUAAGGUAACGGCUUACCAAGGCAACGAUGCAUAGCCGACCUGAGAGGGGGAUCGGCCACACUGGAACUGAGACACGGUCCAGACUCCUACGGGAGGCAGCAGUAGGGAAUCUUCCGCAAUGGGCGAAAGCCUGACGGAGCAACGCCGCGGGAGUGAAGAAGGUCUUCGGAUCGUAAAACUCUGUUAUUAGGGAAGCGGUACCUAAUCAGAAAGCCACGGCUAACUACGUGCCAGCAGCCGCGGUAAUUC
rnacentral:rRNA from 1 species